rnacentral:misc_RNA from 1 species
GUGGGAGGGGGCUUGCUCCCGAUAGCGGUGGGUCAGUCAGCUUAUCUUUAGCUGACCCACCGCUAUCGGGAGCAAGCCCCCUCCCAC